rnacentral:rRNA from 1 species
AUCUUCCACAAUGGACGAAAGUCUGAUGGAGCAACGCCGCGUGAGCGAAGAAGGUUUUCGGAUCGUAAAGCUCUGUUGCGAGGGGAGAACAAGUACGGGAGUAACUGCCCGUACCUUGACGGUAGCUCGUCAGAAAGCCACCGCUAACUACGCGCCAGCAGCCGUGCUAAAAAGUAGGUGGAAAGCAUGGUCCGGAAUUAUUGGGCGUAAAGCGCGCGCAGGCGGUCCUUUAAGUCUGAUGUGAAAGCCCACGGCUCAACCGUGGAGGGUCAUUGGAAACUGGAGGACUUGAGUACAGAAGAGGAAAGCGGAAUUCCACGUGUAGCGGUGAAAUGCGUAGAGAUGUGGAGGAACACCAGUGGCGAAGGCGGCUUUCUGGUCUGUAACUGACGCUGAGGCGCGAAAGCGUGGGGAGCAAACA